AAAUAUGUAUCAUCCUUUUGUUUAGAUGUUGAAACUGCUGCUGCAGAGGAAAUUCUAGUGGAAACCAGUGAUUCUAGUGAAAUAGAAAGAGCUGAAGAAAACACACCUGACCAGACCAGAUCAUGUUUAACACCUACCAGCUCAGAAAAAGCCACAACUGCAGCUCAAGUCAUCCAUGCUCUGCAAACCAGCACACCUGACCAACCAACAGAAUCUGUCCAAGAUGCCAUUAUGCAAUCUACAGUAGCAGAACAUGAUAAAAGUGAUCAACUGAUCGCUCUUGUUCAAGAUGUAAAUGAUAGAUCUGAAGUACUUGAUCAGUGUGGAAUUGGUCCGUCAGUAACAGGGGAUCAAAUGGUUACUAAUCAAAGUGGAACUGAGCAAUUCAGUGAAGAACGUCCAGUUAAUACCAUUCAGUCAGUAUCAGUUAAUCAAAGUGAAACUGAUCUACCUAUGGAAGUUGAUCAGUUUGUAGUAGAAGAACCAGGUGAAACUGACCAGCCAGCAACAGAGGAACAAAGUGUACCUGAUCAGUUCAUGGCAGUUGUUCAAGUUGAAAACGAUUCAUCCAUAGUUGCUCAAGAUGAAGUUUGUCCCAUAGUAACAGGGUUAGCAGAUGGUCAGUUUGUGUCAGAGGAUCAGAGUGAAUCUGUUCAGCUCAUGUCAGUUGAUCACAGUGUAAAUGAUCAGUUAGAGUCAGUCCAUCAAAGCGAAACUGAUCAAGUCAUGGAAGUUGAUGUGAGUGGAAAUUAUCCAUACGUAGUUGAAGAUCAGGGUGGAAAUGGUCAGCCAUCAACAGGGGAACAGCGUGUAGUUGACCAGUUGGAAGUUAGUCCAGUUGAAACUGAUCAGUCUAUUGUAAAAGGGCAGGAUGAAGCUUGUCAGAUAGUAACAGUGAUAGCACAUGAAGGAGAAACUGGUCACUUGGUUUCAGUGGAAAAAAUUGGAUCUCAUGAACUUGAGGCUGUUGAUAACUCUGGAAGUUUUCAUUCUAUAGCAGCAGGUCAGGACGAAACUGGUCAGUCAGUAUCCGAAGAUCAGACUGUAAAUGAUCAGUUCAUGGCAGAUGGUCAAUUUGAAACUGUACAUUCAGUAGUGGAAAGUCAAGAUGCUUGUAAGACAGAACCUGGGUUAGCAAAUGAAAGAGAGUUAAUCUCAGAGGAUCAAAGUGAAUCUCACGAGCUCAUGGUAGUUGACUCUGGAAAUGAGCAGUCUCUAACAGCAGAUCAAAGUUUAACUGGUCAGUCAGAAAUAGGUGACCCAAGUGUAACAGAACAGUUCAUAGUAGUUGAUCAUGUUGAAAAUGAUCAUUCCAUAGUAGAAGAUCAAAAUAAGCCUGGUCAGACAGAAACUGGAUUUCCAAACGAAGGUGAAACUAGUCAGUUAUUAUCAGGAGAUCGAAAUGCAUCUGAUCAGCUCAUGGUAGAUGAUGACUCUGGAAAUGAUCAGUCUGUAACAGAUCAUAGUGGAACUGGUCAGUCUGCCUUACCAAAUGAAGUUGGAACUAAUCGGUUAGUUUUGGGAGAUCAAUGCGAAUCUGAUGAGCUGGUUGUUGAGUCUGGAAAUGAUCAGUCUGU
ensembl:lncRNA